GACGGGCAAGGCGAAGCCGAAGAAGCACACGGCCAAGGAGAUCGCGGCGAAGAUCGACGCGGCGACGACCAACCGCGGCGGGGGCAAGGCGGGGCAGAAGGACCGGCUCGGGCAGGAGAAGGGCGGCCACGCCAAGAUGGAGUGCCCGCUCUGCAAGGUGACGGCCCCCGACGUCAAGUCGAUGCAGAUCCACCACGAGGCGCGCCACCCCAAGCUCCCCUUCGACCCGGACAAGAUCAACAACCUGCACGGCUCCACCGCCGCCGCCGCGCCCGCCGCAGCGGCCGCCGUCGCGUCCUCCUCCAAGCCCAAGCCCGGCGUCCGCGGCAGCCUCAAGAAGACGGGGUAAUCUAAACCCCCUCCUCUCACACCCUCUACAGUCCGAUCUGCCUUGGUCGUCGCCUGCAUCUGCUGUCUUAAGUUUACUAUAUAUACUGCCG
rnacentral:lncRNA from 1 species